UUAAGAUAUUAAGGGCAACUGGUGGAUGCCUAGGCGCUAAGAGGCGAUGAAGGACGUGGUAGGCUGCGAUAAGCCUCGAUGAGCCGCCAAGCAGGCUUUGAUUCGAGGAUUUCCGAAUGGGGAAACCCAGCGGGAGUAAUGUCCCGUUAACCCUUUGCUGAACACAUAGGCUUAGGGUGGCGAACCCGGGGAAGUGAAACAUCUCAGUACCCGGAGGAGAAGAAAUCAAGAGAGAUUCCCAAAGUAGCGGCGAGCGAAAUGGGAUUAGCCCAAACCGAUCAGUUUCGACUGGUCGGGGUUGUAGGGCCUCAAUAAACGAUCCGUGAUUAGAUAGGGGAACAAGCUGGGAAGCUUGACCAUAGAGGGUGACAGUCCCUUACCUGAAAUCGAAUAGCGGCGUAUGAGGUACCUGAGUACCGCGGGACACGUGAAACCCCGUGGGAAUCUGGGAGGACCAUCUUCCAAGGCUAAAUACUCCUUAGCGACCGAUAGUGAACCAGUACCGUGAGGGAAAGGUGAAAAGUACCCCUGUUAGGGGAGUGAAAUAGUACCUGAAACCAGUUGCCUACAAGCAGUGGGAGCGGACUUGUUCCGUGACCGCGUGCCUUUUGCAUAAUGGGCCAGCGAGUUAAUCUACCGUGCAAGGUUAAGCCGUAAGGUGUAGCCGUAGCGAAAGCGAGUCUGAAUAGGGCGAUCAGUACGUUGGAUUAGACCCGAAGCCGGGUGAUCUAUCCAUGAGCAGGCUGAAGCUUGAGUAAAAUCAAGUGGAGGGCCGAACCGUUGUAAGUUGAAAAUUGCUCGGAUGACUUGUGGAUAGGGGUGAAAGGCCAAUCAAACCCGGUGAUAGCUGGUUCUCUCCGAAAUAUAUUGAGGUAUAGCCUCAGGAGUUGACUGACGGAGGUAGAGCACUGAAAGGGCUAGGGGGCUUACCCGCUUACCAACCCCUAUCAAACUCCGAAUGCCGUUAGUUUCAUCCUGGGAGUCAGACUAUGGGUGCGAAGGUCCAUGGUCGAAAGGGAAACAGCCCAGACCGUCGGCUAAGGUCUCGAAGUGUAUGCUCAGUGGGAAAGGAAGUGAAAUCGUUUAGACAGCCAGGAGGUUGGCUUAGAAGCAGCCAUCCUUUAAAGAAAGCGUAAUAGCUCACUGGUCUAAUGAUUUCGCGCCGAAAAUGUAACGGGGCUAAGCAUACCACCGAAGCCACGGGUGCGUAGUUUUACUACGCGCGGUAGGAGAGCGUUCUCAUUUGGGAUGAAGGUAGUCCGUGAGGCCUGCUGGACUAAUGAGAAGUGAACAUGCUGGCAUGAGUAACGAUAAAAAGGGUGAGAAACCCUUUCGCCGUAAACCCAAGGUUUUCUGGGUAAAGAUAAUCUGCCCAGAGUUAGUCGGCCCCUAAGGCGAGGCUGAAAAGCGUAGUCGAUGGGAAACAGGUUAAUAUUCCUGUACCUUAUAGAGUGUGCGAUGGAGGGACGCAGGAGGAUAGAUGGUCCAGCUGUUGGAAUAGCUGGUGUAAGCGUGUAGGCUUGAGAGCUAGGUAAAUCCGGUUCUCUUUAAGGCCAAGGCGCGAUGCCGAGACAUUUAUGUUGAAGCCAUUGAUUCCAUGCUGCCAAGAAAAGCUUCUAAGUUUAGCUCUAUGAGACCGUACCGUAAACCGACUCAGGUGGGUGGGGUGAGUAACCCAAGGCGUUUGAGAGAACUCUGGCUAAGGAACUCGGCAAAAUGACCCCGUAAGUUCGCGAGAAGGGGUGCUCCGAUUGGUGACCCAUUUACUUGGAUAGCUGAUUGGAGCCGCAGAGAAAUGGCGGGGGCGACUGUUUACUAAAAACAUAGGACUCUGCGAAGUCGUAAGACGACGUAUAGGGUCUGACGCCUGCCCGGUGCCGGAAGGUUAAGAGGUGGGGUUAGGGUUCGCCCGAAGCUCUGAAUCGAAGCCCCGGUAAACGGCGGCCGUAACUAUAACGGUCCUAAGGUAGCGAAAUUCCUUGUCGGGUAAGUUCCGACCUGCACGAAUGGCGUAACGAUCUCCGCACUGUCUCGGCCAGAGACUCAGUGAAAUUGAAUUGGCGGUGAAGAUGCCGUCUACCCGCAGAAAGACGGAAAGACCCUGUGCACCUUUACUACAGCUUGACAUUGGUUUUUGGGCUAUCAUGUGUAGGAUAGGUGGGAGACUUUGAAGCCGGUACGCCAGUAUUGGUGGAGUCACCCUUGAAAUACCACCCUUGAUAGUCUAGGAGUCUAAUCCCAACCCGUAAUCCGGGUGGGAGACAGUGUCUGGUGGGUAGUUUGACUGGGGCGGUCGCCUCCCAAAGAGUAACGGAGGCGCGCAAAGGUUCCCUCAGGCUGAUUGGAAACCAGCCGUUGAGUGCAAAGGCAUAAGGGAGCUUGACUGUGAGAGAGACAUCUCGAGCAGGUACGAAAGUAGGUCUUAGUGAUCCGGUGGUUCCGAAUGGAAGGGCCAUCGCUCAUCGGAUAAAAGGUACGCCGGGGAUAACAGGCUGAUCGCGUCCAAGAGUUCACAUCGACGACGCGGUUUGGCACCUCGAUGUCGGCUCAUCACAUCCUGGGGCUGGAGCAGGUCCCAAGGGUACGGCUGUUCGCCGUUUAAAGUGGUACGCGAGCUGGGUUUAAAACGUCGUGAGACAGUUUGGUCCCUAUCUUCUGUGGGCGUAAGAGACUUGAGAAGGGUUGCCCCUAGUACGAGAGGACCGGGGUGAACGAACCUCUGGUGUUCCUGUUGUCGUGCCAACGGCAUCGCAGGGUAGCUAUGUUCGGAAAGGAUAACCGCUGAAAGCAUCUAAGCGGGAAGCCUGCUUCAAGAUUAGGUCUCUCUGACGCAAGUCCUAAAGACCCGUUGAAGACUACAACGUUGAUAGGCCGGAUGUGUAAGUGCAGCAAUGUAUUCAGCAAACCGGUACUAAUAGGUCGUGAGUCUUAACUCC
rnacentral:rRNA from 1 species